GACGAACGCUGGCGGCGUGCUUAACACAUGCAAGUCGAACGAUGAACCCGGAGCUUGCUCCGGUGGAUUAGUGGCGAACGGGUGAGUAACCUGCCCUUGACUCUGGGAUAACUGCGGGAAACUGUAGCUAAUACCGGAUACGACCCUCGGCGGCAUCGCCAGGGGGUGGAAAGAAUCUCGGUCAAGGAUGGACUCGCGGCCUAUCAGCUAGUUGGUGAGGUAACGGCUCACCAAGGCGACGACGGGUAGCCGGCCUGAGAGGGUGACCGGCCACACUGGGACUGAGACACGGCCCAGACUCCUACGGGAGGCAGCAGUGGGGAAUAUUGCACAAUGGGCGCAAGCCUGAUGCAGCAACGCCGCGUGAGGGAUGACGGCCUUCGGGUUGUGAACCUCUUUUAGCAGGGAAGAAGCGAAAGUGACGGUACCUGCAGAAAAAGCGCCGGCUAACUACGUGCCAGCCGCCGCCGUAA
rnacentral:rRNA from 1 species